rnacentral:lncRNA from 1 species
CUUGCUGGCAGUGGAAUACCUUUAAAGUAGCAUUUAAAGAAUUGAUGGUGCUGAUAGAUUGCUCCAAUACAUAAAGUGAAAAAGUAGCGAAUGUAUUUCACCACAAUAUUCAUGCCAAGUGUUAAAUUUGGAACAGAAAUCAAAGUCAGGAAAACUUAGCAUGAUCAAUUUAGUAAAAAUGUAGUCAGGUCAGGCUCACUAAGGGUAGUUUCUUGUUUUUAGCUAUGGUCAACCCAGUAGCAUAGUAACUCCGUCAUACCCAAAUAUUGAUUGGGUUUCCAACACUCUGAAGUCUGCUGACUACGUGGAGACAGCUCCGAUCAACAAACAAAGGAGCCCUUUGCUGCUUCGCUCUGCAGUUAAGUGCAUCUUCUUAGAAGAUCUUCAAAGGGAAGAAUGAUCAUCUACAGGCCAAGACACAGCGACCAGAAUAGUCACCUCUGCAGUGCUCAUUCCCCAAAGCCUUCUAUCUCCAUCUUCUUCAGGAGCCAUGAGUCUGUCUCAUUGUUGCAGGCAGGCAGGCUCCUGUUUGAAAACCAAGGAGGUCUGUGGCUGAGUGUUUUACGGCCAGUCCAGAGGUGCCAUGGAACAGCUCUGAUGGAUGUGUGUGUCAGACUGCAACACCCCCGACCGGAGCAGUUAAACUGAACAGUUUAGAAAACCACCUCCAGGUUUCACAUUUGGGAACACAAACACUUGCAAAGUGUAAUGCUUCUUCCCAGGGAGACCACGGCACUGCUUCAGCUCCCUGUGAAGCGCCCAUAUAUCUCAGGGGCUGAACAGAGUCCUGGUCAGGCCUGGCUUGAUCUCUUGUGGCUGGUUUUUGGCUAAACUAUCUGAAUCCAUUCUAACUUCUCUGCAGUUUUUGUUUAGCAUUUCUUUAUAUGAGUUUGGGAAUCUAUCUUCCUUAUAGACUUCUUGCUUCUCACCUGUUCUUUCCCUCUCGGACAAAGGUCAGCAAACUUUUCUGACAAGGGCCAGAUAGUAAAUAUUUCAGGCAUUGUAGGCCUUAGGGUCUCUGUCGCAACUACUCGACUCUGCCGCUGUAACUCAAAAGCGGCCAUUGACAAUACGUAACCGAAUGACCACUGCUGUGUCCCAAUAAAACUUUAUUUACAAGAACA